ensembl:lncRNA
AUGACAGAAACGUUGUGAGAGCUGUGAAGAAAAACCUCAAAAGCAACGGUCAGUGACAUCAUCAACCUCCUCCACAGGGCAUGGUGAGGAUAUCUCAAUCCACCGUCCUGAAGGAGACACCACAAGAUACAGACCGCUCAUCAGCAGUAAGAAUCAGAAAUCCAGAUUAGCAUUCAAUAAAAAAAUACAGAGGAGAUCCACAAAAAUUCUGGAACCAAGAUGAACCUCCACCAGAGUGAUGGAAAGACCAAAGUGUGGAGAAAGAAAGAAUCUGCUCAUGAUCCAACACAUACAAGCUCAUCUGUCUUCCAAUUUACAAAGAAAUGCAUCCAAAUGGAUCAGGAGGAACUUUAUCAUGCAGCAAGACAACCAUCCAAAACACUCUGCCAACAAGACACAGGACUUCAUCAGGGGAAAAGUGGUUUUGACUGGCCAAGUCAAUCACCAGACCUUCACCUCACCCCCGGAAGAGGAGACUGAAGGGAGAAACCCCCCGAAACUGAAAGAGGCUGUGGUUAAAACCUGGAGAAGCUUCACAGAAGAAGAAAUCAGCAGUUUGGUGAAUGCGGUGCGUCGCAGGAUCGACGCAGUCACUGCAGGCCUGUGUUAGAGCGCCGUGCCUAAAAGAGUUCUCCCUGACGGACGCUACUUCAUUCCUACGAUUGAAAAGCAAUGAAAGAGACGUUCAUCACAAGCGGAACAGCGAUGGGAACCGCCCAAACGUGACGUCUCUUUCCAUCUGUUAGCUGACAGGAUCGCCGUCCUAGCGAGCGCUUCUCUUGCCCUGGUGAGAAAAUACUGUUCUGUACUGCAGUGAGAGCUGACAGACACGCCAACGGCUUCGGGGGGAAAAGCAAACAGCAACAAAAAACAAACAGGACUAAGUGGACGCGCGCACGCGGAGCUCUGAAAGAGCAUCUACGAUGCAAACGGGGCAAAGGGAGGAGGAGGAGGAGUACCAAACCGGAGAGGAUAUCGAUUUUUCAUCUCAUCCUACACUAACGGAGUAGUGUGUGUGCGCGCGCGGUGUGUGUGUGUGUGUGUGUGUGGAUA